rnacentral:lncRNA from 1 species
GAAGUGCUGCAGCGUAUUUCUGGCUCACUGCAGGUUAUUUAUUUACGUUAUCUCCAUUGUUUCCAUUUUUUUUCUCAGUCUGUCACUUGAUGUACUGGACUGCAAUUCUUGGUCACUGGAGGUUAGUUAUUUCCGUUAUCUCCAUUAUUUCCCUUAUUUCCAUUCUUUUUCUUAGUCUGUCACCUGAUGUGCUGGACUGUGUUUCCUGCUCACUGGUUUCUAUUUCUGUUAUUUCCAUUAUUGUUCUUAUUCUGUCAUCUGAAAUGCAGAAGUCUGUUUCCGGCUCACUGGAGGUUAUUCAUUUUCGUUAUUUCCGUUAUUUUUGUUAUUGUUCUUAGUCUGCCAUCUGAAGUGCUGGAGUGUGUUUCCAGCUCAGUAGAACUCAUUCGUUUCCAUUAUUUAAGUUAGUUUUGUUAUUUUUCUUAUACAGUCACCUGAAGUACUGGACUGCGUUUCCUGCUCACUGGAGCUGGUCGCCUGAAGUACUGGACUGCUUUUCCUACUCUCUGGAGGUUAGUUAUUUCCAUUAUUUCCAAUUUUUUUCUUAGUCUGUCACCUGAUGUGCUCGACUGUGUUUCCUGCUCUCUGGUUUCUAUUUCCGAUAUUUCCCUUAUUUCCAUUAUUUUUCUUAGUCUGUAACCUGAUGUAUUGGACUGUGUUUCCUUCACACUGGAAUAUUUUCCCAUUAUUUACGUUAUUUCCAUUAUUGUUCUUAGUUUAUUGUCUGAAUAGUCGGAGUGUGUUUCCUGCUCACUGGAGGUUAUUUAUUUCCAUUCUUUCUAUUAUUUCCUUUAUUUCAGUUAUUUCCGUUAUUUCCAUUCUUUUUCUCAGUCUGUCACCUGAUGUGCUGAAGUGUGUUUACUGCUCAUUGGAGUCUAUUUGUUAUUUCCGGUAUUUCUCCUACUCUGUCAUGUGAAGUGCUGUACUGUUUUUCUUGCUCACUGGAAUCCAUUUCCGUUAUUUCUGUUAUUUCCUUUUUUUGUUCCAUUAUUUUUAUUUACCACUCACCUGAAGUACUACACUGUGUUUACUGCUCACUGGAGGUUAUUUCCAUUAUUUCCAUUAUUUCCAUCAUUUCCUUUAUUUCCAUUAUUCUUCUUAGUCUGCCAUGUGAAGUACUGGACUGUGUUUCCUCCUCACUGGAGGUUAAUUCCAUUAUUUCCUUUUUUUCCUUUAUUUCUGUUAUUGUUCUUAGCCUGUCAUCUGAAGUGCUGUACUUUGUUUCUUGAACACUGGAGUCUACUUCUGUUAUUUUCAUUAUUUCCUUAAUUGUUCUUAUUCUGUCUGUGAUUGUGCUGGAUUGUGAUUCCUGUUCACUGGAGGUUAUUCCCCUUCUUUCCCUCCUUUCCCUUACUUUCUUUAUUUCCAUUAUUUCUGUUAUUGUUCUUAUUCUGUCAUCUGAAGUGGUGGGUUUUGUUUCCUGCUCACUGGGCUCCAUUUCCAUUAUUUCCAUUUUUUCUCUUAUUUUUCUUACCAUGUCAUCUGAUGUGCCGGACUCUGCUUCUUGCUCACAGGAGGUUAUUUCAGUUAUUUCUGUUAUUUUUGUUAUUUCCAUCAUUUUUCUUAUUCUGUCAUCUGAAGUGCUGGAUUGUGUUUCCUGCUCACUGGAGGUUAUUUCCCCUAUUUCCCUUAUUUCCCUUAUUUCCCUUACUUCCUUUAUUUCCUUAAUUUCUGUUAUUUCUGUUACUGUUCUUAUUCAGUUAUCUGAAGUGGUGGAUUGUGUUUCCUGCUCACUGGAGGUUAUUUCCAUUAUUUCUGUUAUUGUUCUUUGUCAUCUGAUGUGCUGGACUGCAUUUCCUGCUCACUGGUGCUUAUUUCCAUUAGUUCCGUUAUUUCUGUUAUUUCUGUUACUGUUCUUCUUCUGUCACCUGAUGUGCUGGACUGUGUCUCUUGCUCACUGGAGUCCAUUUCUCUUAUUUCCAAUAUUUCUUUUUUUCUGUUAUUUCCACUAUUUUUCUUAGCUGGUCAUCUGACGUGCUCGACUGUGUUUCCGGCUCACUGGAGGUUAUUUCCGUUAUAUCCAUUAUUGCAGUUAUUUUCGUUAUUUUUCUUACUCUGUCG